GCCUUGGCGCAAUGGUAGCGCGUUGGUUUUCGGCUUUGAACUGUCUCUGAUCACCAAAGGUUGUGGGUUCGGUACGUGGCAUUCCUAAUGGGAACCG
rnacentral:tRNA from 1 species